GAUGAACGCUGGCGGCGUGCCUAAUACAUGCAAGUCGAGCGAACAGACGAGGAGCUUGCUCCUCUGACGUUAGCGGCGGACGGGUGAGUAACACGUGGAUAACCUACCUAUAAGACUGGGAUAACUUCGGGAAACCGGAGCUAAUACCGGAUAAUAUAUUGAACCGCAUGGUUCAAUAGUGAAAGACGGUUUUGCUGUCACUUAUAGAUGGAUCCGCGCCGCAUUAGCUAGUUGGUAAGGUGACGGCUUACCAAGGCAACGAUGCGUAGCCGACCUGAGAGGGUGAUCGGCCACACUGGAACUGAGACACGGUCCAGACUCCUACGGGAGGCAGCAGUAGGGAAUCUUCCGCAAUGGGCGAAAGCUUGACGGAGCAACGCCGCGUGAGUGAUGAAGGUCUUCGGAUCGUAAAACUCUGCUAUUAGGGAAGAACAAAUGUGUAAGUAACUAUGCACGUCUUGACGGUACCUAAUCAGAAAGCCACGGCUAACUACGUG
rnacentral:rRNA from 1 species